rnacentral:rRNA from 1 species
CCUACGGGAGGCAGCAGUGAGGAAUAUUGGUCAAUGGGCGCAAGCCUGACCCAGCAACGCCGCGUGAAGGAAGAAGGCUUUCGGGUUGUAAACUUCUUUUGUCCGGGAAGAGUAGAAGACGGUACCUGACGAAUAAGCCACGGCUAACUACGUGCCAGCAGCCGAGGUCAUACGUAGGUGGCAAGCGUUGACCGGAUUUACUGGGUGUAAAGGGCAUGUAGCCGGGUUGACAAGUCAGAUGUGAAAUCCUGCGGCUUAACCGCAGAACUGCAUUUGAAACUGUUGAUCUUGAGUACUGGAGAGGCAGACGGAAUGCCUAGUGUAGCGGUGAAAUGCGUAGAUAUUAGGAGGAACACCAGUGGCGAAGGCGGUCUGCUGGACAGCAACUGACGGUGAGGCGCGAAAGCGUGGGUAGCGAACAGGAUUAGAUACCCUUGUAGUC